UAAUAGCAAGAGGAGUAGAGAGUCACCUGUCUCAAAUUGUAACUUCCCACUUGUUGACAGUUGCUGUCCACUAAGGCUUCAGUAUUGUCAGAACUGUCUAAAACACCAAAUCUGGAAUAAGUUCUCUCAAGGCGGAAAGUUUGUGGGGCAGACAGUAUAGUAAAUAUAUAGUAAAAAUAUAGUAAUAUAAAACAUAGCAAUAAUUAUAACAGACAAUAUAGUAACUCUAGAUAUCUACGUCAUACAUCGAUAAAACACUUUAAAUUAUAAAUCUAGAUUAUUAAAUUCA